CCGUGGUUCAGUGGCAGUGCAUCUGCUUGGCAUGCAGAAUUUCCCGGGUUCAAUCCCUGCCAUCUCGA